rnacentral:rRNA from 1 species
GAUGAACGCUGGCUCCAGGCUUAACACAUGCAAGUCGAGGGGAAACGACGGGGAAGCUUGCUUCCCCGGGCGUCGACCGGCGCACGGGUGAGUAACGCGUAUCCAACCUGCCUCUGACUGAGGGAUAACCCGUCGAAAGUCGGCCUAAUACCUCAUGGUAUCGUCUGCGGGCAUCCAACGACGAUUAAAGAUUUCAUCGGUCAGGGAUGGGGAUGCGUCUGAUUAGCUUGUUGGCGGGGUAACGGCCCACCAAGGCUACGAUCAGUAGGGGUUCUGAGAGGAAGGUCCCCCACAUUGGAACUGAGACACGGUCCAAACUCGUACGGGAGGCAGCAGUGAGGAAUAUUGGUCAAUGGGCGAGAGCCUGAACCAGCCAAGUAGCGUGCAGGAAGACGGCCCUAUGGGUUGUAAACUGCUUUUAUGCGGGGAUAAAGUGAGGGACGUGUCCCUCAUUGCAGGUACCGCAUGAAUAAGGACCGGCUAAUUCCGU